ACAUUUCUAUGGAGUGGGGUACACUAUACCUCUCCCUAAGUUCCCCCAACCUCUUCCACGUCAUGUUCGAAGGUACCCUAGACGCCCCCCACUCCUGGGUAUAAUCUACAGGCUCCUCGGUCAUGGCAUACCUAUCCACCUCGGACUUCCCCAUCUGACCGACCCCAUAGUCUAAAGACGCCACUGUCACUAGCUCCCUACCCAAAGUGGAC
rnacentral:lncRNA from 1 species